rnacentral:rRNA from 1 species
GACGAACGCUGGCGGCGUGCUUAACACAUGCAAGUCGAGCGGUAAGGCCCUUUCGGGGGUACACGAGCGGCGAACGGGUGAGUAACACGUGGGUGACCUGCCCUUAGCUCUGGGAUAAGCCUGGGAAGCUGGGUCUAAUACCGGAUAUGACUCCAUAACGCAUGUUGUGGGGUGGAAAGCCUUGUGCGGCUAGGGAUGGGCCCGCGGCCUAUCAGCUUGUUGGUGGGGUGAAGGGCCUACCAAGGCGACGACGGGUAGCCGGCCUGAGAGGGCGACCGGCCACACUGGGACUGAGACACGGCCCAGACUCCUACGGGAGGCAGCAGUGGGGAAUCUUGCGCAAUGGGCGAAAGCCUGACGCAGCGA